ACGAACGCUGGCGGCGUGCUUAACACCUGCAAGUCGAACGGAAAGGCCCUGCUUGCAGGGUACUCGAGUGGCGAACGGGUGAGUAACACGUGGGUGAUCUGCCCUGCACUUCGGGAUAAGCCUGGGAAACUGGGUCUAAUACCGGAUAGGAGCCAUUUUUAGUGUGAUGGUUGGAAAGUUUUUUCGGUGUAGGAUGAGCUCGCGGCCUAUCAGCUUGUUGGUGGGGUAAUGGCCUACCAAGGCGGCGACGGGUAGCCGGCCUGAUAGGGUGGACGGCCACAUUGGGACUGAGAUACGGCCCAGACUCCUACGGGAGGCAGCAGUGGGGAAUAUUGCACAAUGGGCGCAAGCCUGAUGCAGCGACGCCGCGUGGGGGAUGACGGCCUUCGGGUUGUAAACUCCUUUCGCUAGGGACGAAGCUUUUUGUGACGGUACCUAGAUAAGAAGCACCGGCUAACUACGUG
rnacentral:rRNA from 1 species